UAUUGAACUCGAUGAGAAUAACAAAGAUUUGAUCACCUACAUGGAUACCAUGCAAAGAUUCGACUCUGAUUAAUGACUUGGAGCCAUAGGUCCGAAAUGAAGUCCAUGAAGAUCAAUGAUGUAUGGACACUCGUUGAUUCACUCGAAGGGUAAAGCCUAUAGAGUGUAAGUGGAUCUUCAAUAAGAUCAGAGUAGUGUAGAAGAGAAGGUGG
rnacentral:lncRNA from 1 species